rfam:Fomitiporia mediterranea MF3/22 unplaced genomic scaffold FOMMEscaffold_7, whole genome shotgun sequence.
GGUUCUAUAGUGUAGCGGUUAUCACACAGGAUUCUGAUUUCCUUGUUGCUUGUAUCAGAAAUUCCUGUAACCCCGGUUCGAUUCCGGGUAGGACCU